UCACUGCAGGGAAUGGCCCUGGGGGGAACCCUGAACAGCUCCAAGCUGGAUUGGGGAGUGGGAAUGACUACGGGAGCUUAAUCUAAAUAAUUCAGGGAAAAAUUGAAUUUACAGAGCUCAAAUCACUGCAGGGAAUGGCCCUGGAGGGUGAACCCUGAACAGCUCCAAGGUGGAUUGGGGAGUGGGAAUGACUACGGGAGCUUAAUCUAAAUAAUUUAGGGAAAAAUUGAAUUUACAGAGCUCAAAUCACUGCAGGGAAUGGCCCUGGGGGGAACCCUGAACAGCUCCAAGCUGGAUUGGGGAGUGGGAAUGACUACGGGAGCUUAACUGGAAUAAUUUCAGGUAAAAAUUGAAUUUACAGAGCUCAAAUCACUGCAGGGAAUGGCCCUGGUGGGUGAGCCCUGAACAGCUCCAAGCUGGAUUGGGGAGUGGGAAUGACUACAGCAGCUUAACUGGAAUAAUUUCAGGUAAAAAUUGAAUUUACAGAGCUCAAAUCACUGCAGGGAAUGGUCUGGGGGGAACCCUGAACAGCUCCAAGGUGGGCAGGGGAGUGGGAAUGACUACAGCAGCUUAACUGGAAUUAAUUCAGGUAAAAAUUGAAUUUACAGAGCUCAAAUCACUGCAGGAAAUGGCCCUGGUGGGUGAGCCCUGAACAGCUCCACGGUGGGCAGGGGAGUGGGAAUGACUACAGCAGCUUAACUGGAAUAAUUUCAGGUAAAAAUUGAAUUUACAGAGCUCAAAUCACUGCAGGGAAUGGUCUGGGGGGAACCCUGAACAGCUCCAAGGUGGGCAGGGGAGUGGGAAUGACUACAGCAGCUUAAUUGGAAUAAUUCAGGUAAAAAUUGAAUUUACAGAGAUCAAAUCACUGCAGGAAAUGGUGUUUGGUGCUUUGGAUCUGAACAGCUCCAUGGUGGGCAGGGGAGUGGCACAGGGAAUGGGGCUCUAUGGGAUCUUAGCUUG